AGCCUGAUAACCUGCUCUGUGUUCCAACUACUCUGACUCCUGAAAUUAUCCUGUUCCAUCUGACUCUGUCUGCUCUCCAGCCCCGGAAACCCCAGACAUCAACAGUGCAACUCAGUGAUGAAGAGAGAAGAAACUUCAGUGUGCAGAUAAAUGGACUGAAGAAGAGUGAUGCUGGCUGGUACUGGUGCAGAGCAGGAGAUCUACAGGUUCCUGUCCACAUCAAGGUCACUGAUCCAUCACCAGUUUUGACUACAGCAGUGACUACAAGAUGUCAGUACUUCCAUAGGACCUGUGAUCCAUUGGUACCUGGUGUCUGUUCUUUUGCUACUGGUGAUACUGGUCAUCAUCAGCAGCAGCAGCAGCAGCAGCAGCAUACAAAGAAAGAAAUGCAUCUUCAGUAUCAAAACAUAAUGAGCAGGACACAACCUACAGCUUUGUAAAUAUUCCUCCCAAAAAGAAAACUGUGUCUCCAAAUUAUGUUGAUAAUCAGACCAUCUACAGCACCGUGGUUGUCUAGUAAGAGGAAACUGUGGCUGGUGCCUCAAGGAUCAUGACUGGGUCUCGUGUUCAUAUUCAUCCUGAACAAACCCCAUCAAGACAAAGACAACAUGCUCCACACCCAUACCCCAGAUUUACAUCAUAGUCACAUGACCCUCAGGUCAUUCAGAAAAGACCAGUUUCACUCUCAGAACAUAAAGUACCUUAUUGUAAGUUUAGGCCUGCAACGGCUUGGGAACACACAGUGGUGCUUGAAAGUUUGUGAACCCUUUAGAAUUUUCUAUAUUUCUGCAUAAAUAUGACCUCAACCAUCAUCAGUUUUUCACACAAGUCCUAAAAGUAGAUCAAAAGAACCCAGUUAAAUAAAUGACACAAAAAUACUAUACUUGGUCAUUUAUUUAUUGAGGAAAAUGAUCCAAUAUUACAUAACUGUGAGUGGCAAAAGUAUGUGAACCUUUGCUUUCAGUAUCAACCUCAACCACCACCAGCAGGCGUCCCGGAGCUACUGGCCAAACGCGAACGGCCGGCCGACUUCCUCCAGAUGUAGAGCGCGGAAGCGCUGACGCUGUUGUUCAGGGGUGCACCCCACCUGCUGGAGGACAGCUUGGCGAAGGUCUACAUAGAUCAGCUGGCGGUCGGCGGGGAGCUGUAGCGCGGCCAGCUGCACCUCGCCCGUUAGCAGGGGGAGGAGGUGCGCCGCGCGCUGUUCCACCGGCCAGCCCGAGGCCUCUGCUGCCUGCUCGAAGAGCAUGAGGAAGGCCUUGUGGUCAUCAUGUGGGCCCAUCUUUGUGAGGGUGAGGGUAGAAGGGCCCGCGGUGGUGGAGGUGGUGGACCCUGCCGACGCGAGGAGGUGCCGGAAUGCCUGUCGGUCUUCUUGCUGCGCCAGCACCAGGGCCUCGAACCGGUGCUCCUGCUCCUUUCGGAGGGUGACUAGCACCUGGUGCUGGUUCUGCUGGGCCGUGGCGAGGGCGUGGACCAGGUCUGUGAAGGGGGAGGACUUCAUGGGGCUGUUCUUUCCUGUGCUCGAUCCCGGGUUUCGGCACCACUGUAGCAGUUCAUGUGGGUGGAGCACAGAAAGACGGCAGGCCAGAAUUAAGUUCCACAAACUCUUUAUUUUAGUCUUUUCAGACGUUGUCAACUCUCUAGUCCUGCACACACACACACACCAGUCGUCUGGUUGGGGAGAGAGCUUCCUUCCUCUGCUUUCUCUCUCCUCAUAUAGGGCGUGGUCACUGGGGAAGACACACAAACACAGAUUAACUAACAUCAGGUGCAGUGAUUCUGCCACUUACCUUCCCUGACUCCGCCCUCCGGUCACAGACCAACGUUUGACCACGCCCCCACUGACACAAUUUUACUUCAGUAUACUUAAUGAAAUGAACUUGAAGUAUACUUCUUUUUGAUAAGGGCAGUGUUGUAUGCAUCAACAGUUUUUAUUUUAACUCUUGCAUUAGAUUUACCAGUUCAUUAAUAAUCAGCAGAAAUGAGUUUUCUGUGGACACAUCAUUUUUUCUGAUAUUUGCUUUUUUUUCAAAUGAAACUCUUUAAAUGGAUGUUAAAUGUUGCAUAAAUACAGAUUAUACCACAACAGUGUUGAAUUAUCUGUUCUGAUGAACCAACAUGAAAUAACUUCUCACAGAUGAUCCACAAGAUUAACAAGGUGUUGCCAGGCAAAACAAACCUCACCCGGCAGCACUUAUUUUAUACCUAUAUGUUGAUAAUGGUAAUAUUUCUAAUCCUCAGCUGUCAGGUUAUAGUCCUAUGA